rnacentral:rRNA from 1 species
UGGGGAAUCUUGCACAAUGGUGGAAACCCUGAUGCAGCGACGCCGCGUGAGCGAUGAAGGUUUUCGAAUCGUAAAGCUCUGUCCUAUGGGAAGAUAAUGACGGUACCAUGGGAGGAAGCCCCGGCUAACUACGUUCCAGCAGCCGCGGUAAUACGUAGGGGGCGAGCGUUGUCCGGAAUUAAUGGGCGUAAAGGGUUCGCAGGCGGCAUGGCAAGUCCGAUGUAAAAGGCGAAGGCUCAACCUUCGUAAGCAUCGGAAACUGUCAAGCUUGAGUGAAGGAGAGGAAAGUGGAAUUCCUAGUGUAGCGGUGGAAUGCGUAGAUAUUAGGAGGAAUACCGGUGGCGAAGGCGACUUACUGGACUUCAACUGACGCUGAGGAACGAAAGCGUGGGUAGCAAACAGG